rnacentral:rRNA from 1 species
GACGAACGCUGGCGGCGUGCUUAACACAUGCAAGUCGAACGGAAAGGCCCUGCUUUUGUGGGGUGCUCGAGUGGCGAACGGGUGAGUAACACGUGAGUAACCUGCCCUUGACUUUGGGAUAACUUCAGGAAACUGGGGCUAAUACCGGAUAGGAGCUCCUGCUGCAUGGUGGGGGUUGGAAAGUUUCGGCGGUUGGGGAUGGACUCGCGGCUUAUCAGCUUGUUGGUGGGGUAGUGGCUUACCAAGGCUUUGACGGGUAGCCGGCCUGAGAGGGUGACCGGCCACAUUGGGACUGAGAUACGGCCCAGACUCCUACGGGAGGCAGCAGUGGGGAAUAUUGCACAAUGGGCGGAAGCCUGAUGCAGCAACGCCGCGUGCGGGAUGACGGCCUUCGGGUUGUAAACCGCUUUCGCCUAUGACGAAGCGUGAGUGACGGUAAUGUGUAAAGAAGCACCGGCUAACUACGUG